rnacentral:piRNA from 1 species
GCCCCAGGACCACAGGAACUCAUGUGUGC